UACGUAGGUGGCAAGCGUUGUCCGGAUUUACUGGGCGUAAAGGGCGCGUAGGCGCCUGCUAAGUCGAACGUGAAAUCCCUGGGCUCAACCCAGGAACUGCGUCCGAUACUGGCAGGCUUGAAUCCGGGAGAGGGAUGCGGAAUUCCAGGUGUAGCGGUGAAAUGCGCAGAUAUCAGGAGGAACACCGAUGGCGAAGGCAGGUCUCUGGGCCAG
rnacentral:rRNA from 1 species